rnacentral:rRNA from 1 species
UAUAUUAAAGCUGUUGCGGUUAAAAAGCUCGUAGUUGGAUCUCAGUUUGGGACGACGGUUCGCCUCUGGCGAUUUACUGUCGGUCUGAACAGCUCGUCGGCUUGCACGGGGUGCUCUUUACCGAGUGUCCCGCGUGGCCGGCACGUUUACUUUGAAAAAAUUAGAGUGCUCAAAGCAGGCUAUCGCCUGAAUAGUUGUGCAUGGAAUAAUGGAAUAGGACCUCAGUUCUAUUUUGUUGGUUUUAAGAAGCCGAGGUAAUGAUUAAUAGAGACGGACGGGGGCAUUCGUAUUGCAACGCUAGAGGUGAAAUUCUUGGACCGUUGCAAGACGUACUACUGCGAAAGCAUUUGCCAAGAACGUUCUCAUUAAUCAAGAACGAAAGUUAGAGGUUCGAAGGCGAUCAGAUACCGCCCUAGUUCUAACCAUCAACUAUGCUGACUAGCAAUCCGUCUGUGUUAAUCCCAUGACUAGACGGGCGGCUUCCGGGAAACCAAAGUCUUUGAGUUCCGGGGGAAGUAUGGUUGCAAAGCUGAAACUUAAAGGAAUUGACGGAAGGGCACCACCAGGAGUGGAGCCUGCGGCUUAAUUUGACUCAACACGGGGAACCUCACCAGGCCCGGACACUGGAAGGAUUGACAGAUUGAGAGCUCUUUCUUGAUUCAGUGGGUGGUGGUGCAUGGCCGUUCUUAGUUGGUGGAGCGAUUUGUCUGGUUAAUUCCGAUAACGAACGAGACUCUAGCCUGCUAACUAGUCGUGCUGUCUAAUUUAAUUGCAGCGCGUAGCUUCUUAGAGGGAUAAGCGGCAUCUAGCCGC